UUCCUAAAAUAAUUUAUUAGAGUAUCAAAAUACCUCCAUGUAGCUAUCCAAUGCCUUACUUCUGGUAGGAAAAUAAGAUGGAUUCCUACCAAAUGAGUUCUUGUUAUAAUAUUUGAAGGGGCAUGCGAGAAACCUUGUCUCUGUCUAAUGCCAACCUUCAAUUUUUAGGAUUCUCACCUAAUGUUUGUCCAAAACCAAAACAAACAUCUAUUACCCAACUCUUGUGAACUUUUCCUAAAGUUUCUGACAUGUUUUGGUCCAUAACUUUGUUUUACCAAAACCCAUCUUUUACCUGCUUCUCCUUUUGACAAAAAUUCACUUUCAGAUGCUUAGUUGCUACUUUUCUUUGAUUUCACAUGAACCCAAAAUUUUUUCAACUCUGGUUCUUUAUCCUAAAAUAUGCAGCAUCCACUGUUCUUUCUUCCAACACUUUUGGAAAUUUUGGUCCUGACAUGAUUGGCCUAGAUUUUGCUUUUAGAAAAGGAGCAGUCAUGAGAUUUUGAUUUAACCUUAAAUCAUUUCUACAAAGAAUUUAUGGCAACCGACAAUUAUAUCAUUCCUUAAACAGUAUAUGUAAGUGCUCAGAUGUAGACACCCAAAAAAAUGAAUCAAGGCCGUUCUUUUUUUUUAAGAUACAAUCUCAUAAUGCUAAAGACGACUCUAGGACUCCAAUACAUGUAUCAUUUGUGCACAAAUAAAAGAACAGAGUGUUGAGCACCGUCCAGACAUUUCUGAAAGUUCUAAGUAGGUCCCGAAGAGUCACAAGCAAGUGGGCUAUUUCUAGAUUUAACAUUGAUAAGAUGAGAAAUGAACCAUUUGGUCUCCACAAUAAUUUCAAAUAAUCAACUAAAAAAACUCGUCUAUGGUUCUAGCCUGCUGCAUGAUGUACGGCAGCAUUGAUGCUGAAGGCAAAUUACGCUAGAAGAUUUAAAGCAUUAAGGGGAAAUUAUCGAUUCCGAAAAUGAGACUGAUUUGCAGGAGCUCAUGAGGAACCAACAUACCCCAUGCUAUAUGUAAUUAUUAAGAAAAAGAAUGGGAUGGAAGUAGAAUUAAGACAGAAGUUAAAGUGUUACUGGUAUACGCAAUCCGUCAUAGCUUAGUUGUACAUCAAGCCCUUCUGUCUCCAACAAUUUCGACAGAUACACAUUAACCUUUUCAUGAUCCAUCAGGUGCAUCAUGCCUGUGAAAAGUGUUCUCUUUGGUUGAAUUUUCCGCACUUCAUCUAACGCCCUUGGAAGUCCAAAAUGUGUUGAAGAAGACCGAUCAGGCCUCAGAGCAUCCUGAAACAAAAAAUGAAAUAUAAGCUAGAAAGGGAGAACAUUGAUGAGGCAAUGAAAAAAUGGCAAAUGCAAGUGAUUGUGUUCAUGCGCCUCCUUUUAUGCAUGCGUGCAUAUGAGAGAGAGAGAGAGAGACCAAAAUCAGAAUUUCACAGUCCUUGAGUAGUGGAUAAGUUCCUUCAGGUAUCUCACUAACAUCACUUAUGUAACAUAUGUUACCAAAGCGAAAACCAAGGGAACGAUAACCACGACCAUGCCACACUGGUAAAGGGGUAAACUGAAACAAUAAAUGAAAAUGGUUCACCUUAGAGAGUAAAGUAUUCUGUUUUUACUUGUUAACAUGAUAUUGGACUCAAAUGAGAAAGAUGCUCCAUUCCAAAUUAUUUGGUGUUUAGAUUAGAAAGUUCAAAGAAGUAUGAUUACGUGCUCUGACAAGCAAGACCACAUCAACAACUAACUAUGCAAAGAAUGGUGCCAGAAGACAUUAAAUUUUAUUGAACAGUUUAAAACACAACCAGAAUUUGAUCAACUAAAGAUUGAACAAUUCUGUUUUGCUGUGGCUGCAAGAUAGAAUUCUAAGUAAUUCCUCUUGACUGGCAAAUCCAUCUGUCACAACUACUGGUUUGGUUCACAAGAUUUGUCGAUAACUGUAUCAAUACCAUCAGAUCAGAUGCUACAAAUGGCUCCUCAUAUAUGAUGUUAAAUUGUAAGUCUGAGACAACAGCACCAGUUGUAACGACACUCGUAUCCACCAAAUAAUAAUGAGUCUUCUUCAUCACCUCAAAAUCACGCUGUGCAACGUAGAUUGGGAUGCAAGGCUGCACAUUGUUUGUCCAAUCCCGAAGAUCAUCCAGACCUAAGUAAGCAAUUUAAGCAGAAAAAGAAUGCUCUUUAGUGUCAGGUAACAUGUGAGUUUCUAUUUGAAAAGGAGAAGAAACUUCUUGCUUUGUCAGAGUAGCAUUCUUCUUUUCACUAAAUAACACUAGAAAGUGUCAAUGUAGGAGACCUCCAAUUGCAUCAGCAUGAGAAUGAGUAAUAAUAACUGCAUCAAUUGUUCUUAACCUGACACAAACAAAAAGGCAAAUGCAUGACAAUAUCUGUAUACAAUAUAAGAGAACCAGCAAAGAACUAGCAAUUCAAUAAGCUACCCCACAACCUCCACCACUUCUUUGAACUAUUAAAGACUUAAAAGACAAAUUAACAACAGAACAAAUAGCAAACUGAACUGUGCAAAAGAUAUACUCUUUUUGCUAGUGUCAAAGUGGGUGUGGUAUAUCUAUGGAGCACUUGCCUGGCAAUAGGAUUUCAACAGCUGUGCCCUUUUAUCUUAUUUGGCAAUGAUCAUCAUGUCUGUAUAUGUGAAAUGCAAUCCUUGAGGUGCUUUUUCCGCAUUCUAAUUUUUGUAUUCCACUUGGUCAUGAGUUGUUCCUUUUUCUUGUUUGUAUGGAUUACAUGAACAACUAUUCAAUUGUUUAUAAAGUAAUUGCAUGUUAUUGAGAAGUUUCUAGUUGAUUAUUUAUACAUAGUAAUAGGCCAUUGGAGCAUUUGGAGCAUGAAAACAACAAUAGGCCAUUGGAGCAUGAAAACAACAGAACAACUUCAGCCUUAAGUCAUUAGUUGAAAUAAAAAAUGAACCAGGAUUCUCCCUUAAAUAUUUGCCAAACUUAUUAAGAUAUUCCCUUAUACAUUUGCCCAAGUGAAAGAGUCAUAGAUCAUGAAGGACCAACUAAUUUCUAUGGAGCCCCAAAAUAACAUAUUGGAGUAAAUGUAUAGAAUGAAAACUAACCCAAAUGCAGGAAACCAUCGAAGAGCACUAUGGUAGAAAAACCUGCAAAAUAUAAGUUGCAAAGAAAAAGUUUGAUCAAAUUAUAAAGGGUAAUUAAUCAAACCAGUAAAUAAUACUCAGUCAACAGGAACUUGGUUGGCCACAUUAUUCAGCAGGAACAAAGUUCUUUUGCUAUUACUUAAAUAUCUUAGACUUUUUCCCUACAAUAGGUAACAAAUUGACACAUGCAUCAAACCUGAAGAAUUAAAAUUACACCAAAUCAUCAAUCUGUGCCCCAAAGGUUUAAUUGUCACAUUUUGUCUGCGCAUAGAAAUUUGACUUUCAAUCAAAAUCUAAGCAUACAAAUGCCAACAUGUACAUUAAUCCCACAAAAAGAGCUUCCACAAUUCAAAUCAUUCCCUCCUCCCCGUCCAAUGCUAACUUACUAUCGUCUACAAAAAUUCAAAGAAUCACAAGAACCCAAUGCUAUCAUUUUUUAAGGCUAACCCAAAUUUAAUACAUGAUCCAUGAAGUAAGGAAUACCAAGCUGAAGAUAACUUCAUUCCACAUCCUAUUUCAAUCCAUAGCUAAAAUUAUAAAAGAAAGUGCAACUGAAAAUGAUAAGAUGUCAGAAAGAUGAGCAUUUAAUAUUGAUUAAAAAAACCUGAAAUUCCACAUAUAGGAAUGCAUGCUUAGCCAAAUAGAACUUAGCAUUAGUGUAACAGUUAAGUAGCCAUUUAAAUUUUUAUAUGAAAAUAAAAUAGUCAGAGCUAUAAGUAUAUUUGACUUACUUGCCAACAUCUAUUAGAAUGUUGCGUCUUUCACCCGGCCCAGAAUAACGAAUAAGGAGGCCUGUGUUCAAUCUCCUGUUCUUAUUACCUAGUUCCACAGCUUUUGAGCACACCGGACAUUUCUUUGAACGAUUAGUAAGGCAGCUGAGACGUGGAAUCCCUUCACUAGUUCCUGUUCCCAUGAAUAUGAUUUCAGAUUGUUCUAAGGGUGACUGUGCAUCCGCAUUUCCUCCUGCAUUUGAAAUAAAGCAAGCUCGCAGAAUCCUCUUAGAUAGAGAGAACCCAUUUUUGGAAAGUGAAAAUGGAGAGAGCCCAUUACGGGAGAGUGAAAGUGAAGAGCUCUGGAAAGAGAAUUGGCGUCCGUGGUGAUCAAAACUCGGUAGAGAAGGAGAUACACGAACUGUGCCUAGAAAUUGGACCAUAGUUUGAGCAAGCUCGAAUUUUUUUGGUUUCUGUCACUUGGGAUUUUAGAAUUCUUUGAAUGUAAAUUUAAAUUUUGAAAAGAAGAAGAGGACUAGCUGAAAGAAAAUACGCUUUUCAGAUGCGAAAGGUGGCUUUUUGGUUUCGAAGAGUAUGGAGUGGAGGAUUCGUCUUCUGGUUGGUGAAGACAAAGAAAAAAGUUGACAGGGUUUCCAAGAAAUAAUAUAAGAAACCGAAACGACAACGCUUUGGUGGUGGCGGCGGCCGCCAACUUCAGUUCCUUGUGUCGUCAAGCUAAGAACAAUAUCUAAAAAAAUAAAAAUUCGUGAACAGGAUAGUUUUAUAUCAACUGAAAUUUUUCAACGCUGCCGUGGUUGAGCGAUCCUUGCGUGUGCGUCCUGGCGUUGAGGUCAUCCCUGGCCGCCGCUUGGUUGGUGCUGGUUCUGCCACAUGCUUCGGUCGGCGUCUGCAAGUUGGGACUUCCUGCUCAAGGGUUCUGGGUUGAGGUCUGGGCCGUUUGUCUCAUGGGCUGGGUAUUUUUCAGAUAGGGCCUCUUAGUUUUAAGCUAAUGAAUUUCUGUUUUUGGGCCUUUAAGCCCUGCUGUGUACU
rnacentral:misc_RNA from 1 species